rnacentral:rRNA from 1 species
AUUGAACGCUGGCGGCAGGCUUAACACAUGCAAGUCGAGCGAGCGGCGGACGGGUGAGUAAUGUCUGGGAAACUGCCUGAUGGAGGGGGCUAACUACUGUAAACGGUAGCUAAUACCGCAUACCAUCCGAUGUGGCCAGAUGGGAUUAGCUAGUAGGUGGGGUAAUGGCUCACCUAGGCGACGAUCCCUAGCUGGUCUGAGAGGAUGACCCGCCAAACUGGGACUGGGAAACGGUCCAAACCCCGAAGGGGGGCAGCAGUGGGGAAAAUUGCAGCAUGGGAGGAAGGCUGAUGCAGGCAACCCGGGUGUGUGAAGAAGGCCUUCGGGUUGGAAAGCACCUUCAGCUAGGAGGCCUUACUCGAAGAAGAAGCCCCGGCCAACUCCGUGCCAGCAGCCGCGGUAAUUC